rnacentral:rRNA from 1 species
UACGUAGGGUGCAAGCGUUGUCCGGAAUUAUUGGGCGUAAAGAGCUCGUAGGCGGUUUGUUGCGUCGGCUGUGAAAUCCCGAGGCUCAACCUCGGGUCUGCAGUCGAUACGAGCAAACUAGAGUGUUGCAGGGGAGACUGGAAUUCCUGGUGUAGCGGUGAAAUGCGCAGAUAUCAGGAGGAACACCGGUGGCGAAGGCGGGUCUCUGGGCAACAACUGACGCUGAAGAGCGAAAGCGUGGGGAGCGAACAGG